rnacentral:rRNA from 1 species
GAUCAUGGCUCAGGAUGAACGCUGGCGGCGUGCUUAACACAUGCAAGUCGAACGAAGCACUUAUCUUUGAUUCUUUGGAUGAGAGGUUUGUGACUGAGUGGCGGACGGGUGAGUAACGCGUGGGUAACCUGCCUUACACAGGGGGAUAACAGUUAGAAAUGACUGCUAAUACCGCAUAAAACAGCAGAGUCGCAUGACUCAACUGUCAAAGAUUUAUCGGUGUAAGAUGG